GGUGCACCCAAGCAGAGCCAGCUUUCUUCCAGCCCAGGGCCCAGCACCAGGGCCAUCUGGGUGGCCUCUAGUGGGGCGUCUGUCGGCCCCCAACCCCAGCAGCAACCCCCUCUGCUGUGGGCACAGCAAGGAACAGCCUUGCUGUUAGGGGCCUGCCAUAGCUUGGCCACAAGAUGGUUGAGCCAUCAACGGAGUUCUGACUGAAGCACUAAACCCUUUGUUUGAAUCCCAAAGCAGGGCCUGAGGCCUGAGAGGUUCUUGAAGACAAUCCUGAAAACUGAGAGGGUCAGGGCUCAGCCUGUUCACUGGCCAGAGAAUGGAGAAGAGGGAGUUGGGACUCUGAAACCUGGUAUAUUCAAGAGGAGGCUUGACAUGAAGCGGUGGUCCAGGCAAAUAAGAAGGACACUUCCUGGUCUUUCUGGGAAAGGGGUGGCAGUCCCCCCACCCCCGCCCCCAAAUCAGGGUUCCACAUCUUUUCUCCUCAUUCGUGGAUCCCUUUGAUCAUUGUCUUGCUGACUGCCAAUGGUCAUGGAGCCGCUGGGUGUGUCAUGGAGCACAGACAUUCGAUUCUAAUGAGGGGUGAGAUCCUUUGGGGGUCAGCUCCCUGCCAUCUGGACUCAAACUGGUUCAAGUUGGUCUUUCUGGCUCACCCACCACUGACUACUUCCUGCCUAAGAGACAAACAGCUCUGUUGUGCAGGGUGCCUUGCAGCUGCUGAGAAACACAAUUCUGUGACCAAUACUGACCCAUCGGGUGGCAUCACUGUUCAAGUUCAGACAACAGUGGCUCUGGCCCUGCAGUUUGGCGGUUUCAGCAGCACCUGUGGGCUUUGGAGCUGAGCCUCUACCCCAGAUGUUUGCUGCAAAGUUGGAGACCUCAGCACUACAGUGGAAACAAGUGGGGUUCCCUGCACCAGUCACUAUGAGAGAAGCUAAAGUCUGCAUGGCUGCAGUCCUCCUCACCACAACACCCCAAAGCGGCUGUGGAGGGUUGUGUUCUGCAUGGACGUUGGCUGGCUUCCUGCUCAGCAACAAGAUCGUGGCUCUCUUCAUGAAGGUGGGCCAGAGCUUCCCACCUAUUGUGGGUCCCAGCCUUAAAGUCCAGGACCUGGAGCAGCUGAUGUAGAACAUGCAACUGCAUCUGUAUUAUGGACCCAGUGUCUGGGAGAGCCUAGCGUCAGGCCAUUGGGGAC